AGAAGACAGGAGCUGGCUGUGAGAAAUGAUGAUUCAUUACUUUCCACAACAAGACGACUAUUUCGCCGGCAAGUUAAUCGAGUUCGGGGAGGAUCUGGUGGCCGCAGGGAAACCCCUAUUUGGCAUGCAAAACUUUUCCUCCUUCCAGGGCCAGAUAAUGGUGUUCUGCCCCCCCACAAUAGAACUUGAGGGACUGGCUAUGGAUUAGAUGUCUCAUCAAAAUAGCUCCUACAGCCGGCCCUCACCCAUGAGAUGCGUUUGCGUGGCGAACCGCACAGUACGUAGGGGUACAUCGUUUGUGCAGGAAGGCGCAGAAGUCAAAAUAACCGCCUUUAAAAUGACAACAACUAGUGCGCUCAGCACAGGAAUUAAAUUUUACCUGGCCCCCAAAAGUGGAGAAGAGGCUGGAUUUGAGGAGAAUGCCACUUACGUGAUUAAAAAUUACACGUUGUCUUUCAAGUUUGGGCACGAGUGUAUCUUUGUUGGACCAUCUUCCUCCAUUUUCAAAACGGCUCCAAUUCCUUUGGCGGAGGAGGCGAGGGCAAGGGCACAGGAGGCUCUUUGCCCACCAUCAUGCUGGACCAGUGGCGAGGACAGCGACGUGUUCACUAAAGGAGGAUAUGUAACCCUAAGUGGAUAUGUGGAGAGGUUACAAGCGGUCCGCAUGACGCCCGUCAAGGAAGGCGAAGUCCCCAUCCUUCCAUCUGAAAACUGGUGGGAAAGUAAUAGAGGUUUCAUUGUGGCGGGAUGAAGCCCUCGUCGGCCUGAAGAUGGGGGAUCAGACUGCGGUCACACACCUGAAGGCCAAUGUCUGGCCCAACGGGAAGUCGAAGAUGAAUUCGACCUCCUAUACCACAGUCAAGGUCUCUGAGAGGGCAAUGAAGACGGUCGAGGUGGAAGUCAUAGGACUUUCAGAGGAGGCCGACGUGUUAAUCCUCCUCGACUCCGAUUAUGCAGAGUACCAACUGCCAUCAGACAUAUACACGGGUGAAGACCUGCUCGGCGAGCUGCCCAUGACCGUGAUACUUGACCACUUUAAUUUAAGUGGUCAAGUUCACUAAAAAGUGAAAAAAGGAAAAAUUAAAGGCAGAAUUUUGUGGGCAAAUUAUCCAAGUAUUUACUCAUCCUUAAAUUGGUACAAACCUAUCUUUCUUUCUUUUG